rnacentral:rRNA from 1 species
AACGUAGGACACAAGCGUUAUCCGGAGUUACUGGGCGUAAAGGGCGUGUAGGCGGACCUAUAAGUCUAUUCUGAAAGCUCCUGGCUAAACUGGGAGAGGCGAAUGGAGACUGUAGAUCUAGAGUGAGGAAGAGGAAAGUGGAAUUCCGCGUGUAGUGGUGAAAUGCGUAGAGAUGCGGAGGAACACCAGUGGCGAAAGCGACUUUCUGGUCCUUAACUGACGCUGAGG